rnacentral:rRNA from 1 species
AUACGGAGGAUCCGAGCGUUAUCCGGAUUUAUUGGGUUUAAAGGGUGCGCAGGCGGCCAUUUAAGUCAGCGGUUAAAUCGUGGGGCUCAACCCCAUUCUGCCGUUGAUACUGGGUGGCUUGAUUGCGGUCGAGGUUGGCGGAAUUCGUUGUGUAGCGGUGAAAUGCAUAGAUAUGACGAAGAACACCGAUUGCGUAGGCAGCUGACCAGACCGCAAAUGACGCUCAUGCACGAGAGUGCGGGGAUCGAACAGGAUUAGAUUCCCUGGUAGUCCGCACAGUAAACGAUGAAUACUUGUUUUCGGCGAUAUAAUGUCGGAGGCAAAGCGAAAGCGAUAAGUAUUCCACCUGGGGAGUACGCCGGCAACGGUGAAACUCAAAUGAAUUGGCGGGG